rnacentral:lncRNA from 1 species
GCGCGGGGGACCCCGUCAGCGCCUCUGCCUGCCCCUCAGGACCCCUGACCAUUGAGGGGCGCGCCGUUCUCCGGGGUGGGGCCGUCCUGGGCACUGCAGGGCGCCGAGGCUGCAUUCCUGGCCUCCACCCACUCCAUGCCCAGAGCACACCCCAGGCGUGACCACCACAGCUGUCUCUAGACACACACUGUCCAGGGUCCCCUGGGGCGGGGGGCAGGAUCACCCCGGGUGGAGACCCUCUGUUCUAAACGCCGGCAAGUCCAUCUCCACCUGGACCUCGCCCUGGGCUGGACGCCUAUCCCACCACCUCCUCUGCCUCUCCCCUGGGGGUCCCACGGGAGCCCCACUCUAACAUGUCCAUGACCCCACUCCUGAUCUGCCCCCACUCGCUCUUCCCACCCCAGGCGGAGGCAGCUCUGUCGUCACUGCCUCUGACACCCUGUUUCUCCCGAAAACCCUGGGGGGCGCCACCUGCAACACAGGGAACUGCCCACUGCUCACCCCUCCACAGCUCCUACCCAGGUUGGGGCCCAGCGUCGAACCCAGCCUCCUUCCCCAUCAACAUCCUCGACCAGCCCAGGCCCCUCUGCGGGGUCCUCCCUGCACCACCCGUGGUCUGUUCUCCCCACAGCUGCCAGGGCAACCUGGUGCAGACCCCUAAUGAGUAGGUGGGUCUGGCUGCUGAGGUCACACCAGCCACGGCCUCCCCACGGGAUUCCAGCACCACCAAAAACCCAAACUUGAAUCCCAUCGUGCCUGUGGGUCAGCAGCAUCUGAUGGAAGUUUCCGUAUGAUGAAAAGGCUUUGACGGCUCAGCUGUGCAGCGUUUACAUUGGAAGAGCCGCCGGCAGCAGUCGGCUCACCUGACAGCAUGGCGUCUACGCUUUACUACCGUUUCACAGGGGACACCAGGGGCUGGGGAGCAGGCCAGGCACCCCCAGGGGACACCACUGGGCAGAUCCAAAAGUUCAGAGACACUACGGGGCAGAAAACCCGACUUUGCCAAGAAAUUACAAGGGGAGGCCGGGCACGAUGGCUCACGUCUAAUCCCAGCACUGUGGGAGGCUGAGGCAGGAGAAUUGCUUGAACCUGGGAGGUGGAGGUUGCGGUGAGCUGAGAUCACUGCACUCCAGCUCUGGGCAAGAGUGAGACUCUGUCUCAAAAAAAAAUAAUAAUAAUACGGGCCAGAUGUGGUGGCUCACACCUGUGAUCCCAGCACUUGGGAGGCCGAGGUGGGCGGAUCACGAGGUCAGGGGUUCGAGACCAGCCUGGCCAACAUGGUGAAACCCGCCAACUCUACUGAAAAUACAAAAGCCAGGCUUGGUGGUGCACACCUGUAAUCCCAGCUACUUGGGAGGCUGAGCUAAUUCUUUGUAUUUUUUAGUAAAGAUGGGGUUUCACCAUGUUGGCCAGGCUCCAGUUCGAGACUCCUGACUUCAGGUGAUCUGCCUGCCUUGGUCUCCCAAAGUGCUGGGAUUACAGGCGUGAGCCACCGCGCCCGGCUAUUUUUCUUUAAAUAAAUAAAUUAAUUGAAUAAAUGUCUCUUGGGACCAGA